rnacentral:rRNA from 1 species
GUUGAGUGAGAGGGGCUGUAGCGUUUAUAGAGGAGAGUAUUAAUUGUAGAAUGGGGUAUAUAGGGGACGGACUACCUUUUGAAUAAGGGGGCUUAGAGAGAGGGGACUUAGGUAGUAGCCCCAAACCAUGAGAUAUUUAUUUACUGUUUUGGGAGAAAUUUCAGGAUUUAGUAAAUAAUGCAGUGAGAUGCUUGCGAUUAUGGUAUAUGUGGAAACUGGCCCAGGAAAGCUGGGUGGUUGGUUUUAGGUGACUGCGAAUUGAUGGGGAAUAAUUGUAAUAGAUGAUUGCUACAAUAAUUUCAGAGAAUUUAGAAUUCGGGGUGUCUAAAUGGGCUGGAGUUGGGGAAUGUUCCCAGUCGGGCCAAUUAAGCUAUUAGUAAUGAAGGAGUAAGAUGUUAUUGGGGAAGGGCUGUCGUGUGGACUAGGAAGUUGAACAAAUGUUUAGUAAAAACAUUUCUCGUUUAUUGAUGAGUAAUUCCUGCCCAAUGAUAAUUUUAAUGGCCGCAGUAAGUUGACUGUGCUAAGGUAGCAUGAUAAGUAGGUCAUUGAUUGUGAUCUGGUAUGAAGGGGAUAAUGAUUCAAUCUUUGGUGCUUGGCAGCUUGGGAAGUUGAAAAAAGGUGAAAAUGCCUUUCAGUUUAAAAGACGGAAAGACCCCAGAAGCUAGACAAGGUUGGUUGUUUUAUUGGGGCAAUAAUUGAAAUUCCAAAUUUCAGCAGAAAAGUUACUCUGGGGAUAACAGGGCUAUCGCUUCAAUGGAGUGGUUUGCUACCUCGAUGUUGGAUCAACCCUAAAUGAGUCUGUUCGACUUAGGGUGGGUUACGUGAUCUGAGUUUAGAUCGGUGUGAGCCAGAUCGGUUCUUAUCUUAUAGGGAGUCUUUGUAGUACGAGAGGGGGCAUUGACUAUAAUAAUUAUAGU